GAUUUUGGAUGUGACAAAACAAUGGAAAUGACUGACUGUCUCUAUCGUAAGUGGUAAAAUAUUUAAUGAUAGAUAUAUGAGGUCUUCUAAGUUUGAAUUCUAAUUGAUUCAUAUUUUCAGUUAAGUUUAUUUUAAAAAAAAUAAACGAAGCAGAUAGUAUAUAUAUAUAUAUAUAUGCUACCUUUUUCUCUCAGAAGGAAAAAAAGACAAAAUAAUGGAAUGAAAUUAUAACUUCAAAAGUAGAGGUUCUAAUUUACAAUUUAUAAAGUUGUUGUAGAAAAAAACUGAUAAGAUGAUUUUGGUAUAUUGUACUUUAUUUUAGUAGUAUUAGAUGUGAAGAAAGAAAGGAACGUCUGUGGUGGAAACAGAGGACUCUGAGCAGCCUGAGCCUGUUAAGGAAUUACUUUUUCCUUUUUUUUACCCUAGAGGCAAUACAGUGUAUUG
rnacentral:lncRNA from 1 species